rnacentral:rRNA from 1 species
CACGUAGGAGGCGAGCGUUAUUCGGAUUUACUGGGCGUAAAGCGCGUGUAGGCGGCUGAUCAAGUUGGAUGUGAAAGCUCCCGGCUUAACUGGGAGAGGACGUUCAAAACUGAACAGCUUGAGUAUGAGAGAGGAAAAUGGAAUUCCGGGUGUAGUGGUGAAAUGCGUAGAUAUCCGGAGGAACACCAGUGGCGAAGGCGAUUUUCUGGCUCAAGACUGACGCUCAGACGCGAAAGCUAGGGUAGCAAACGGGAUUAGAAACCCUCGUAGUCC